rnacentral:misc_RNA from 1 species
AAAACACACAAAUAAAAUUGUGUAGUGUUUUAAAUCCUACAAAAAUUUUGUGUGUGGUUUUUCUCUAACUACGAAGUUAUAUUAUUAUAAUCAAAUAAAUCGAAAACAACGUCGACAUGGUAUUUUUCUGACAUCAAAUUUCCAAAAGAAGUAGACAAGAAAAUAUAAAAUACAACGAAUCUGUUGGUGCCGAAAGAAAAUACAAAAUACAACGAAUCUGUUGGUAUUGAAGCCCAACCUAACAAGAUGAGAAGACAAUAGCAACAAAAUAGAAGAUUUUAUUUCAACAACUGAACGUUACGGCCGUUUACAUGAAACUGUUAACCGCCGAACUUACAAAUUACUGAAAGUUUAACUAAACAAGUUGGAAUGUCGAGCUUAAGACUUUGAGCUGGAAUCGAGAAUAUUCUCUGACUCUCACUCUCAGUUAUCACAUGUCCUUUGCUGACAUUUCUCUACUUCUAUUUAUAAUACCAAUGGGACAGUCCUAGCCUAAAAUAAGAAACGGUCUCUCUAACACAUAAAUGGUUGGAAGUUCACAUUCUCACCAUCUUUGGUAAAAUCACAUAUAUACAUUCAUAAUUUGCUUUACCAUAGUUUUUCUCGGAUAACCUACUAAGGGACGUCCAUACUUGUUCAAUCUAUCUCUUUUAAUUUGGAUCCAUGAGGUGAUGUUUCAAAAGUGUUUAGUAUAAGAACGAUGGAUUUGCAAUUCCUCUAGACGUACAACAUCCAUGGCUUUGUACCCAAAAUACAUGCACAAUGGAGGUAAAUAUGUUAGUAACUGAACAUUCUUCAAAAAGGUAUAAUGGGUAAGUUGCAUACGCAAUAAUUAAGUUUCUUUCUCUUGCAACAAACGCGAUGUGGUAGCAUCAUCCUUUGUAACGAUCAAAACUGGUAAGACUAUCGGUCCACACAGUUUUCCAUGUACCAAUAGAAGAUCCAGAGUUGGAAUGCUUCCAAGAAAUUAGUAUCCUUGAUUUUAAUAAGUCAAUUUAUACUCUUUAACACCAAUUUGAAAUCCAAAAAUUGCUUUAGUCUCUGUUUGUGGUGGCUAAGUCUAUCCCUACAAGUCAUGAAUUUAGAAUUCUUGCAAUAAAUUAAAAAGCAACAAGGUCUACUCGGCAUAAAUUAGGAAUAGAUCAUUUAACAUAUUAACUUGUUUCGUAAGAACCUUUCGCAUAAUUAACAAAUAAUCAUAAUGAUUAUUUAUAUACGUGUCUUUCAAAAAAAAAACACUGUAUAAAAAUUAUAUGAAAUUGACUUUCUUGAACACUAGCAUUUAUAUAUAACACAAGUGUUGCAAAAUAGGUAUGUCUAUUCAAUAUUGACUUUUCAUUCUUUUAUUUAGAAGCUUCCUAUAUAUUCGUCUAUGUUAAAUUAAAACACCACAACACUCUCUCCUCUUCAUAAUUCUCCCUUCCUCAUUCCUCAGCUCCUCAAACCAGAAUGAAUGAACACGACAACAAAUACAUUCCAGUGGAAAAACAAUCAGGGACGUACGUAAGUCCUCCGCCGACGAUGGGUUAUCCGACCAGAGAUAAGGGGGUGGGUGAUCCUCCGGCAAAAGCAGUGGAGAAAAAGCCCAAUUGCUGCGACGUCGUAUUACAGUACAUAUAUAUUUCAUUUAGUUUACUUUUUUAUUAUUAUUAUAUGUUUAUAGUUUGGCUCUAAUUAUUCGCAACCGGCGUUCAACUUUCUUUUUAAUGAUUUGUUGUCUGUCUACACUAUUGGCAGUGGUCUUUUGUGUUGUGGCCAUAUCGCGCUCUGCUUCUGCGGAGGAGGAUGAUGAGACUGAAGUCCUUUGCCCAAACCAGAAAAACAACACGUAAUAGAAGAUCCAUCAAUAUGUUAUCUUGACUCAAGAUAUAUAUAUAUAUAUAUUAGUCGCUUGUAUGGAUUCUCACGUUCCAUUUUUAAGUUUAUUUGCUUCAUUAUUUAAAAGGGAUCCAUUAUCCGC